rnacentral:rRNA from 1 species
AUUGAACGCUGGCGGCAGGCUUAACACAUGCAAGUCGAGCGGAGAUGAGGUGCUUGCACCUUAUCUUAGCGGCGGACGGGUGAGUAAUGCUAGGAAUCUGCCUAUUAGUGGGGGACAACAUUCCGAAAGGAAUGCUAAUACCGCAUACGUCCUACGGGAGAAAGCAGGGGAUCUUCGGACCUUGCGCUAAUAGAUGAGCCUAAGUCGGAUUAGCUAGUUGGGGGGGUAAAGGCCUACUAAGGCGACGAUCUGUAGCGGGUCUGAGAGGAUGAGCCGCCACACUGGGACUGGUAGACGGCCCAGACUCCUACGGGAGGCAGCAGUGGGGAAUAUGGGACAAUGGGGGGAACCCUGAUCCAGCCAUGCCGCGUGUGUGAAGAAGGCCUUAUGGUUGUAAAGCACUUUAAGCGAGGAGGAGGCUACUGAGACUAAUACUCUUUGAUAGUGGACGUUACUCGCAGAAUAAGCACCGGCUAACUCUGUGCCAGCAGCCGCGGUAAUAC